AUCUACAAAAAACACCCGCCAUUAAAUUGUUGCCGCCCAAAGGUUUUCCUUUUUUUCUUUGAUUAAUUUCACUUCUUUAGAUUGUACAUAAGUAGACAAGACGGAAUGUGAUGUAAGGUAGAACUUGAUACCAUAAAUCUGAUCCCCGUCGAGCACUGUCAUGAGAUGUCUGCAGAUGUGGUGAGUUAGAGACCCUCUAACAAAACAACAACCAAAUCUCGACGUACUGUCACCAAAGCUUAAUGGAACCUUGACUAUGUAACAGUAAAAGACUGUUUGGUUAUAGAUGAUACUACUUUACACAGUAAAACAGUAUUACGUACGUAAGUAGAAUAACUUUUCAAGAUAUUGCUAUCUCCACCACAACACACUAAUACCACAUAACCACGUUGAUCGAACGCAUUUGCGAAGGACUUUGCUAAAAGUCCGGCUAUUUGUACGAUCGGAAAUGCCUGUAAUUUCCCUUAGCCGCAUGCCACGAACUAGCUCAAUGCCAUUACAUGCACGCAUGGUAAUAUUCACGUUUAAUGAGUUCCAAAAAUUACACACAUGCCUUUGACAAAACGUGAGCUUACUUUCGAUUUCCUAAAUUCCGUGCGAUCGUUGAACGUGAUUCCUUAUUCGCCUUGUGCAAUUUCUGGUUAAGUUUCCGUUUAAUUAGCUUUUGAAGUCGACGCAGUUACAUAGUUCUCCUACAUAGGUGUAACCUUUUCCUGAAAAAUUGGAUCACGACGCGAUCAACGCUCCAAGCAGGUCUACGGUUUCGUAAAUUUUUUCAAGCUCUUUUCUAUUUUUCUUUUCAUUGCUGCAUUUCUCUCCAUCACGAAACCCCAAAAGUCGUUUGUCAAACCGUGAUAGGCGGCAGCUGCACAAACAUGUAUGUAUACGCAGGUAUACGAUACUGAAUCCUAGAGAGAAACACAACAUCAGGAUUUAGCAAUCGAGAAAAGGGCGGAAAAAGCCACCACCCAAACAAGAUAAGCUUCUGCUAAACCCAUCCGGUGAAUUGGCAAAAACAAAAUGGGAUUGUCUACUUCGUUACACUGAAUACUUUUUCUUUCCGGAAACGGGAAAGAAGAAAAAGGACAAAUAUUCGUUCGUUGACUAAAGGUAACCUUUUUCACAUCCGGAAUUGCAAAGGAUUCAGAGCUCUUAAAGCUUAUCAAUAAAGGAAGUUGGUAAUCCAAUACAUGAAGACCGACCGCAACAGUCUGCCAUCUAACGGUCAAAUUUGGAAUUUUCAUUCACUUUUUGCCUCAAUAAGUGAACCAUCAUUGUUCGUGGCCUACAGGACACGAUCGCUAAUUGGGCUCUCUCCUACACGACUCGUUUCUCCACGUCAGAAUAGGCCAAUAAUAUGGAACGAGGGGAGGAAGCUGUCGGUCGAUUUUGUUUCAGUUUCUCCAGCAGCUUGCAGACGACGAGGCCAGCCGGUCGUGACACAUGAUCGCGUCACUGAAGCAGAAGGAAUGCCAUCGCCGGGUUCGGUGCGUUCGACGAGAUGUUUGUGCUGCAUCGGUCGGGCCAGAACAAGAACGCCAUUAAAAGAAAGUAGUAACUCGAAACCGCCAAAACCACCAUCGUCCCUUUCAACGUUGAUUCCGCUGUCGUUCCUACACGUCAGACAAGUACCCCAUCUCAACACCAAAGCCAGUAAAAACUUCUGGCUUUAUCUAGAGGGGGGAAAAAAUGUGGGCGGAUUUGAUUGAGAAAAUGAAAGAACGGGGAAAGGAGGAAGGAAAAGAGGAUUCCGAGGCAACAGACCAGUUCCGCGGAAGUGGAACGAACGCAGGGGCGUUGUCACGAUAACGUCAGUAUUCAAAUCACAUCAUCUAGAUUCAUCAUGAAUCAAUGUAUUUACAAUAAAGCUCCGAAUGACAAUAUGGUAUAUCGUAUAUACAUACACACAAGUUACAAACGUAAUGUUUUUUUUCCUUUUUUCUUUUUUGUGUUUUACUUCUCCCCAUCUUGGUAGUGUGUAAAGUACAGGUAAUAUGCGACACGUUUAAAAAAUUGAGGAUAUAAUCCCUCCGCAAUAAAAAUGCAAAAAAAAACAAAAAUAUGUAUCAUACAAAAUAGGAAAAGAUUAACAAAACAAAAAUAUUUCCUUAUGGACAUUGUCAGUCGAUUACAAACGCGCUUAUCUUUUUUGAUGCACACCAUAAAAAAGAAGAAAGGAAAGGACAAAAAAAAAAAAAGUACCAAUUGCUUUGUCAUAAAUCUUAGUAGUGGUGAUCAAGAUGUUGGGAACACACGGUGUCCCAUAGUGUGGAUAAAGAAUUUAAACAACAAUAUUAGAAAAAAAUAAAAUAAAAUGAAAUUUUCUUAAUAAAUGCUGCUUUGCCCGUUGUUGGCUUUCAAUUCAAACUGCAACUGUGGAUGAAAAAAUUGAUGCAUCAUGCUAGUACCACGAAAAUCAAAGAAUUGUACAGACGCUAGCGACGAAGAUAUCAUUUAAGGCUGUGUUGACGUCCUACGGUACAAAACACGAGUCAACAAAGUCUGCGAGCCACCGAGUCCGGAUUUUUUUUUCUCUCUUUUUUUCACAUUUCUUUUGUGACACACACACACA